GUCUUCCGUGGCGCCGGCCAGCGAGGGAGGCUGGGGUGUGGAAGGCAGGGCUGUGUGCAGCCAGCAGGCCUUGUCUGAGAGCGCCCUUUGCUGGGCAUCCAGGGUUGGAGAAUCCGUCGCGAGCCGUCUGCUGCAGGGAAACACAAGAAGACAGGGGACCCCAGGAAAGGAUUCCUGCCAUCGAGAAAUUCGCAGUCUCUGGGAAUUCCUACCCCUCAUUCACUUGUGUGGUUCCUGCAGGGACCACAGCCUCACCAGAUGCCUGUUCCCAUAGGACCUGAAUCCUGGCGGGAGGGCGGGCGAGGAACGAGGUGACUGAUGUCAGCGCAGCCUGGAAUCAGGGCUACGCAGGUAACCCAGCCGAGAAACAGGGAGAGGUCGUGGAGGACACAGGGAGAUGGCAGCCCUCUAAAGCCGGGGGGGAGAGCCCUGACCAGGCACCAAACUGUUGGUGCCCUGGUCGCGGACACCCAGCCUUCUGACUGAGAGAAAGUGCCUGUUGUCGCAGCUGCCCCGUCUGCGGCUCUCUGUUAAGGCAGCCAGAGCGACUAACAUAACAGGUUGUCAUUCAGUCCCAGCAGACCAUCCACGAAGCAGGCAGUGAUUUGAAAAUGUCACCCUCACCGCGUGAGUUCUCAGCGCACACAGACGGCCUGUUUCUGUACAGCUGUACCCUAACUCUGCGUUUCGUUUGGGUGUACUUUCAGUGCGGCACCUCGAAGGCUCUUUUUCGCUCUGGGCACGGUUGUUCAGAGUCUGCAUGAACUCCCCACUGAGGUGGAACGAUCCCUCAGCUUUCAUGGACUUGAAGGUACUCGACAGCCUGCAAGCCUCUCUCCCUGCCCUGCAUGUCCGAGUGGCCCGUGUCGGUGCCCCGUCCGUGGUCCCAGGAGUCACGCCCCAUCCAGGGAGCACAGGCGAGCGCUGGGACAGCCUGAAGGGAGCCUGGCGCCACGUGUGCGGGGCAAGUGCCCUCCUCCCGGUGUAUGGGGUCAAGAGCUCAAGGGCAAGCGGGGAGGUGUCUGGCUUCACCUUGGCUCUGGGCUUGGUCGGGCCUGGCGGGUGUAGGACAGGCAGGCGGAGGACACGCCAGGCCAGGGCUGCCCUGACCUCCCUGACUCACAAGGACUCUCUUGUUGGGGUCACUGAGGGCUCCACCCCGUCCACACUCUGACCGAGGACGCCAAGCGUGUCUGCUCGCGGCUCGGCGCUCCGUCUCUGGGGAGGGAGGGUUACCGAAUGAAGUCGCUCAGGCCCGCAGCCUGGCGGGAUCUCUCUGCCCGGCUGGCGAGGGCUCUUUUUCCGAGGAUGGAGCAGUGAGAACCUUUCUCUGAAACCCGGGCUGGCGUCUGGAGUCACACAGGAGAUACAGUAGCAACCCUCAGAGAGCUGAAUGACGGGGGCUGCGAAGGCGCCCACCCUCGCCUGCUCCCGGGGGUCCUGGAGCAGGCCGGGCACCCGCAGGAGAUCCAGCCCCAGGGCUCCCCGCCUGCUCCAGCUGAGAACAACUCAGAGACCAUGAUGCCAGUCUGACGUCCCCAGCAGCGCCUCCCAGACCACCCAGGCGCCCUGGGAGGUGACACACUUAUUCGAAUGAAUGAGAUGUAGCUCAGAAAGUCCUGGGAAUUCUGGGGGACUUUCCUCCGGGAUUUGCUUUGUUUUGGCUCU